GUGGCUUCACUCAAAGUUCUUUGUAAGAAACUCCAAGAGAAGCCACACCCACCACUUUCAGAACCACACCCAUCAACAACCACUCAUCCUACAAUAGGUAUACCCAUGUUAUCCCCCCUAUACCUACCCCCUCCUCCCUCCCAUCAACUCCUCCAGUACUGACUGGUAGCCCAUUGGGCCAUCUGACGUUCAUCUUUGGAUCAGUUAGGGAGAGUAUCAUCAGUACCAUUAUGAGUGUUCAAGGAUCAUUAUUGAAUCAGUCUUUUAAUGAAGAGGCUGAGAUGAAACUGAUGACCGUCUUAAGGUGUUUGGAAGAACUAAUCAUGAGCAUUGAGAAUUUAUUAAAUCAAGGUAUGCUGCUGCCACUAGUUAAGCUGAUCUAUCAGUCGUUAGUUAAUUAUAUUAAUAAUGUUUUAUUAAUUAUUAAUAUUCAAUUAACUGAAGCUCAAUUAAUUGAUUUGUGCCAAGUACAAGUUACAUCAGUUGUUAAUAUAUUCCGACAGUCUCUUGACUUCAUGAUUGGAGGCAGGUAUCAAUUAUUACAGUUAUAUCAUCAAGCAGCUGCCACUAAUUUAUCUUAACUAUUACAUGUGGUAAUUCUUUUGUUAAUAAUAAUAGAUACAGUGUAUAUUAUAUAAAUGACAAUACAGACUCACAAUCAAUCGUUAAUCAAAGCCAAUCAUCAUUAU
rnacentral:lncRNA from 1 species